rnacentral:rRNA from 1 species
GACGAACGCUGGCGGCGUGCCUAAUACAUGCAAGUAGAACGCUGAAGGAGGAGCUUGCUUCUCUGGAUGAGUUGCGAACGGGUGAGUAACGCGUAGGUAACCUGCCUGGUAGCGGGGGAUAACUACUGGAAACGAUAGCUAAUACCGCAUAAGAGUAGAUGUUGCAUGACAUUUGCUUAAAAGGUGCAAAUGCAUCACUACCAGAUGGACCUGCGUUGUAUUAGCUAGUUGGUGAGGUAACGGCUCACCAAGGCAACGAUACAUAGCCGACCUGAGAGGGUGAUCGGCCACACUGGGACUGAGACACGGCCCAGACUUCCUACGGGAGGCAGCAGUAGGGAAUCUUCGGCAAUGGACGGAAGUCUGACCGAGCAACGCCGCGUGAGUGAAGAAGGUUUUCGGAUCGUAAAGCUCUGUUGUAAGAGAAGAACGAGUGUGAGAGUGGAAAGUUCACACUGUGACGUAUCUACCAGAAAGG